rnacentral:lncRNA from 1 species
AUGUGGGUUCAGAUUAAGGUUCAGGCAUAGACUAAGGGCGUGUUUGGUUCGCUUCUUUUUCACCCUGGAAUAGGAAUCGGAAUGGGUAAAUCCAUUUGUGGGUGUUUGAUACGCGGGAGUCCCAUUCCGAUUCCGAUUCCCGAGUGGAAUGGGAAUCCCCCAAUCACCUCUUUUUUCAAUCCGGCCUGAGAGGCCGGAUUGAAAGUUGAAUCCGGACGGAAUGGAUAUUUAUUCGGAUUAAAUUUAUUUUUUUAAUUUUUUUAAUUAAAAUAUUAGUUAAAAUUUAAAAAUUAAAUAUAUAAUUUUAAAUUUUAAUUUGAACUUAAAUUAAAAAUUAAAAUUUAAUUAAGUAUUUCGAAUCUAACUUAUGAAUUUGAAUUUAAAUUAAAUUUUAAUUUAUAUAAAGUUUUAUUCAAAUUUAUUUCAAACUUAAAUUAAAUUUAUGAAUUCAAAUUAAAAUUUAAAUUGUAAUUUUAAGUUUGAAUUUGAAUAAAUCAAAAUUUAGUUUCAUAUUUUGAAUUAUCCAUUCAACUUCAAAGUUUAAUUUUUUUAAAAAAAAUAGAUUUAAAAUUUAGACAUUAUUUCAAAAUUUUGAUGUAAAAUUUCAAUAUUUAAUUUGAAUUUAAAUUAAUAUAUUAUAAGAUAAUGUUAGUAUAUUAAUUUGAUUACGUUUUUUAUAUCUACCUGAACCAAACACCGGCAAUGGGAAUGAUUUAUUCCGAUUCCGAUUCUGGGGAUGAACCAAACGGAAUUAAGUAAUGGAUCAUUCUGAUUCCGAUUCCACCUUAUUUUGAUUCCGAUUCCGAUUCCGACUCCGACUUCGAACCAAACACGCCCUAAAUGUAGGCUUAUAUGAUAUGGAUUUGGGUAUGGGCUAAAUUCAGG